rnacentral:rRNA from 1 species
UACGUAGGGGGCAAGCGUUGUCCGGAUUUAUUGGGCGUAAAGAGCGUGUAGGCGGCUUUACAGGUCCGUUGUGAAAACUCGAGGCUCAACCUCGAGACGCCGGUGGAAACCGUAAAGCUAGAGUCCGGAAGAGGAGAGUGGAAUUCCUGGUGUAGCGGUGAAAUGCGCAGAUAUCAGGAGGAACACCCGUGGCGAAGGCAGGUCUCUGGGCAUUAACUGACGCUGAGGAGCGAAAGCAUGGGGAGCGAACAGG